AUUGCCCUAGUAAGAUGCAAUCUCCUGCUAACCCCCGGGACUUAGUUGGCACGAAGACAACUCAGCAGACACCUCUUCCAAGAAGGAUUCUGACCCUCGGGAGUGGUGAGGGUCCCCAGGACCUGACAGAUCCUCCUCAAGUCCGUAAGUGAUCAAAUGGCACCAUGCCAGGCUCAGUCCCACUUCCUUACGGCAAGAUGCACGGUGGCGGAGAUGAAGCCCAGAGCCUUGGGAUUGCUUUAAUGCUGAGCCACACCCUAUCUCUGCCUUUCCACUCUGGCCAGGUGCUGGGAUCCAAACCCAAGAAAGACAGAGAGGUAGACACAGUUAGAGCUGGAGAGGAGGAUAAAUAAACAGCAGCCCUGUCAAUGAAAAGCCAAGGGAGAGAGGAAAGGCCACCCCUGUAAAAGAGUUAUUUGACCCCAAUGGGUUGAGAAACACUGCACUAUGUGGAAGACAGACAGAAAGGCCACUUAGUGGGACUGGAAGUGUAAC